rnacentral:tRNA from 1 species
GCCCUCCUGGCGGAAUUGGUAGACGCAAGGGACUUAAAAUCCCUCGAACAGCAAUGUUCGUCCCGGUUCGAGUCCGGGGGAGGGCACCA